rnacentral:RNase_P_RNA from 1 species
GAAGUCAACCGGAUGAUCGCGGAGACAAGCACCGAAAGGUCGUCUCUGAGGAAAGUCCGAGCUCCACAGGGCAGGGUGCCGGGUAAUACCCGGUGGGGGUGACCCCAAGGAAAGUGCAACAGAGAUAUACCGCCGAUAGCGGAAGUCGGUCUUUCUUAAGGACAGGUUUCCGAGUAGGCAAGGGUGGAAAGGCGAGGUAAGAGCUCACCGGCAGUCAGGUAACUGGCUGGCCCUGCAAACCCCACCUGGAGCAAGACCAAAUAGAGGAACGAUAGAGUGGCCCGCUCUGUUCCCGGGUAAGGUCGCUAGAGGCUGCCGGUAACGGUAGUCCCAGAUAGAUGAUCAUCACUUCGGAAGAAGUACAGAACUCGGCUUACAGGUUGACUUCGCUU